rnacentral:rRNA from 1 species
GAUGAACGCUGGCGGCGUGCCUAAUACAUGCAAGUCGAGCGAACAGACGAGGAGCUUGCUCCUCUGACGUUAGCGGCGGACGGGUGAGUAACACGUGGAUAACCUACCUAUAAGACUGGGAUAACUUCGGGAAACCGGAGCUAAUACCGGAUAAUAUAUUGAACCGCAUGGUUCAAUAGUGAAAGACGGUUUUGCUGUCACUUAUAGAUGGAUCCGCGCCGCAUUAGCUAGUUGGUAAGGUAACGGCUUACCAAGGCAACGAUGCGUAGCCGACCUGAGAGGGAGAUCGGCCACACUGGAACUGAGACACGGUCCAGACUCCUACGGGAGGCAGCAGUAGGGAAUCUUCCGCAAUGGGCGAAAGCUUGACGGAGCAACGCCGCGUGAGUGAUGAAGGUCUUCGGAUCGUAUAACUCUGUUAUUAGGGAAGAACAAAUGUGUAAGUAACUAUGCACGUCUUGACGGUACCUAAUCAGAAAGCCACGGCUAACUACGUG